rnacentral:lncRNA from 1 species
AUGCCCUGCCCUAAACCUGCCGGACGGUGCGGGGCUGGGGGUGCUCGGCCCCCCCCUGACUCCCCUCUCCCCUCUGUCCCCUCCCCGGGUGGCCCAGCUGCAGGCGCAGAAGCUGAGGCUGGCGCACAGCCGGGGCCCCUACUACAGCGGCUCGCUGCCCAACGUCAACCAGAUCGGCAGCGGCGUCUCCGACUUCCAGGGCCCCCUGCACUCGCCGCUGGACUCGACGCGCAGCACGCGGCACCACGGGCUGGUGGAGAGGGUGCAGCGGGACCCCCGCCGGAUGAUGUCCCCCCUGCGCCGCUACGUGCGCCAGAUCGACAGCUCGCCCUACGGCCCCACCUACCUGUCGCCCCCGCCGGAGCCCAGCUGGAGGAGGUAAAGACCCCACAGAGCUGCUCCCAGAGCUCUGCCCCCCACCUCCAGCCCCCUCGGUGCCGUGCCCGGGGCCAGACGGGGCCGGGAGGAUUUGGGUGGCUCCCCCUGCGAGGGGAGGUUGGGAAUCACUGGGGGAGCGGGGGCAGCUCUGCCCUGCCCGGUUCCUCCCGGCACUGCCCCCCUGGGGGUGCUUUUAGGGGAAAACGGUGGGGAUUUGGGCACAGAGCAGCCCCUGGCUCUGCUCCGUCCCUCCUGGGUGUUUCUGGAGCCGGUUGGGCUCAGCUCAGCCCUUCGGAGCUCGCUCAGGGCUUCGUUUUCCAGGCUGCCCUUCCUCCUGGUGCCCGGCACAGCUCCUGCGUCCCUCCUCCUCCUCCUCCUCCUCCUCCCGUUCCCGUUCCCGGGGCCGAGCCGUGGCCAUGGGUUGCGG